rnacentral:rRNA from 1 species
AUACGGAGGGUGCAAGCGUUAAUCGGAAUUACUGGGCGUAAAGCGUUCGUAGGCGGUUAUUUAAGUUAGAUGUGAAAGCCCCGGGCUUAACCUGGGAACUGCAUUUAAAACUGGAUAACUAGAGUUUAGGAGAGGGAAGUGGAAUUUCAGGUGUAGCAGUGAAAUGCGUAGAGAUCUGAAGGAACACCAGUGGCGAAGGCGACUUCCUGGACUAGAACUGACGCUGAGGAACGAAAGCGUGGGUAGCAAACGGGAUUAGAAACCCCAGUAGUCC